UUUAAAAGUAGGACCCAUAUCCCACCAACUUUUUCAACUCACUUUCCAUUACAUUUCUUAAAACCCGUGCCCGGUCAAAUUGUCCCAAAUUAUGUGGGACGGAGGGAGUACUUGCCAGAGAACCUAUUUGUUAGUUUCUCAAUCUAUUAUAUUGUUUGUAGUUAGAUUAUUUUCACACUUGAGUUACUAGCUAAAUGAGUAGGUGUGAUACACAAACUUUCUAACUAACUAACAUAUUUUGUGAAAUGUGUCUUACUAGUUGCUGACCCAAUGAAUUGCUUAUUUUGUGUUGAUUAACUGACAAUCUAUUACAAGACCAAUAACUGACAAUCUAUUACAAGACCGGUAACAAUCUAGUUUCUGCAGGAGUGUGAUCAAUUGCUAACUUUCUUAAGUUGCUAACUUGCUAACUCAUCAAUGUAGUGUAUUAAAAAUGUCAACACAUAAUUUUGUUGAACUUCAAUAUAAUGUGUUGAUAUUAUGUAUUGACAUUUUGAUGUCAUCAUGUUGACAUUUUUAAUACACUUUAUAGAUGAGUUAGCAGAGUUAGCAAUUUAAAUAGUUAACAAUAUAACGCACCCCAGUUUCUGCAUAUUACUGCAGAAACCAAUUGUUCCUGAGGAACUUUACAGAGGGGAUACGUGAUUCUCAGCUUGUAGGAUUGCCGGGUUACUCAAAUGAGGUGACCGUUGAUAGAACAAGAAUAAAAGACUGUGCAUCAGUUGUUGAUCAUACUAUCCUUAUCUUCGUAAUCUCAUACACUCACUAACUGGCAGCUAUUUCAUCAUUAGGGUCUCCCUGUAUUUGCUGUUGGAGUAGGCCUGAGCACAUUCGACAGUAUCGUUUCUAAUACUUACAUGUACUCAAUUUGUGCACACGGCAUGGCAUGAAACCGGAUUUUCUGUUUUCCAAUGUUUAACCAUUUCUUCAUCACCUCCGACAUCAUUCUUCUUCGUUUUUAGGUUCAUUAUUAUGUUCAAUCCCACAUACAGAUUAACGAAUACAGGGAUCGUGUAAUUUUGCCUGCUGCGACAAAAAAGUAUGGGAAGCAUAUCAGUAAAUGUAUAAAGAUACUAGAUAUGGCUGGCUUGAAACUCUCAGGACUAAAGCUCCUGACUACAAUUACUUCUAUUGACGAUCUUAACUACCCUGAGAAAGCACAAACUUAUUACAUUGUGAAUGCGCCAUAUGUCUUUUCAGCAUGUUGGAAGGUUCAUGUGAAUCCUGUCACGCUUUCUUAUGACAGAACACUACAUAUAUCAUUACAAGACCAGUAACAAUGCAGCCAUUUUCGGAGCAAUCUAUUGUCUGAAUAAUAUCAACGUGGUAUGAAGUGCUACCAAAUGAGAUCGGUUCGAUUAGAUCAAGGUAGAUGUAGUAGAGACGAUGUAUUUCGAGACGAACAGGAGAGUGAAGGAGACUCAUUUUAAUCAAGUUUAUUGACUCAUUUUUAAGCAAGUUUAGAAAUAAAUGUGUGGAAACUAGCAUUUGCAAAUGAUUGUUUAGUUAGUUCAGUUGUUUAGUGCUUCUUGUGUAAAAUAUACUUCUACUAUUUUUUUAAUAUCAAAUUUUUUUCAUUUGUUA